rnacentral:rRNA from 1 species
AUGCACGCUGGCGGCGUGCCUAAUACAUGCAAGUCGAGCGAACAGACGAGGAGCUUGCUCCUCUGACGUUAGCGGCGGACGGGUGAGUAACACGUGGAUAACCUACCUAUAAGACUGGGAUAACUUCGGGAAACCGGAGCUAAUACCGGAUAAUAUAUUGAACCGCCUGGUUCAAUAGUGAAAGACGGUUUUGCUGUCACUUAUAGAUGGAUCCGCGCCGCAUUAGCUAGUUGGUAAGGUAACGGCUUACCAAGGCAACGAUGCGUAGCCGACCUGAGAGGGUGAUCGGCCACACUGGAACUGAGACACGGUCCAGACUCCUAGGGGAGGCAGCAGUAGGGAAUCUUACGCAAUGGGCGAAAGCCUGACGGAGCAACGCCGCGUGAGUGAUGAAGGUCUUCGGAUCGUAAAACUCUGUUAUUAGGGAAGAACAAAUGUGUAAGUAACUAUGCACGUCUUGACGGUACCUAAUCAGAAAGCCACGGCUAACUCCGUG